rnacentral:rRNA from 1 species
UACGGAGGACUCCGAGCGUUAUCCGGAUUUAUUGGGUUUAAAGGGUGCGCAGGCGGAGAGAUAAGUCAGUGGUGAAAAACUGCCGCUCAACGGUAGUCUUGCCAUUGAUACUGUCUUUCUUGAGUAUGGAUGAGGUAGGCGGAAUGUGCAGUGUAGCGGUGAAAUGCAUAGAUAUUGCACGGAACACCAAUUGCGAAGGCAGCUUACUGGGAUGCAACUGACGCUGAGGCACGAAAGCGUGGGUAUCAAA